AGGAAUACAGAGAUCGCCAUGUGUGUACCUCAUUUGCAAGGAAAAUCAGCUAAACCAAACCAAACCCAGAUCUGAAGCUGGUUGAACCAGAAAACUUGAAUAAAAAUGAUUAAAAGUCGAGACCAAAUUGAAUGAAUCUCAACCCAAAAUUUCAGCAGAUAACAGCAGCUGAAUCAGUAAUUUCCUUCGUAUUAAUGAUGCAAACCCAGAAUCGAAAUUUUGGCUUGAAAAAAAAACUGAACAAUGACCGGAUCUAAAGGUGACCUCGCCGGAACCUCGAAACUCCAUCAACUUGGCUUAGUUUGGACUGUAGCUUCGCUUGUUGAAGAUCAAAAUAAGGAGCAUCAUCGGACAUUGAUUGGCUCUAAUUUGAAACAAACAAGUAACAGAAUAAGGGAGGAUUUUGUUUUCUUUUCCUUUUUGAAAUCCAAUUUCUUGCUUCUAUCUUUUCACACUUCCCUUAUGUCGUUUUUUUACACUUUUUGAAAUGAUGUCUAUUUCUCCUUCUUUCUGCCUAUGUGUGUGCAUUGAAGAAAAGCAAUAUUGAAAGGGUGAGGUCCCCCAUUCUUUUUUUUAUCUGAUUUUUCUAUAUCAAAAGGGAUACGCCAUUGUUC
rnacentral:lncRNA from 1 species